rnacentral:rRNA from 1 species
GAUGAACGCUGGCGGCGUGCCUAAUACAUGCAAGUCGAGCGAACAGACGAGGAGCUUGCUCCUCUGACGUUAGCGGCGGACGGGUGAGUAACACGUGGAUAACCUACCUAUAAGACUGGGAUAACUUCGGGAAACCGGAGCUAAUACCGGAUAAUAUAUUGAACCGCAUGGUUCAAUAGUGAAAGACGGUUUUGCUGUCACUUAUAGAUGGAUCCGCGCCGCAUUAGCUAGUUGGUAAGGUAACGGCUUACCAAGGCAACGAUGCGUAGCCGACCUGAGAGGGUGAUCGGCCACACUGGAACUGAGACACGGUCCAGACUCCUACGGGAGGCAGCAGUAGGAAAUCUUCCGCAAUGGGCGAAAGCCUGACGGAGCAACGCCGCGUGAGUGAUGAAGGUCUUCGGAUCGUAAAACUCUGUUAUUAGGGAAGAACAAAUAUGUAAGUAACUAUGCACGUCUUGACGGUACCUAAUCAGAAAGCCACGGCUAACUACGUG